GUAGUGGUGGUGGUGGUAGUGGUGGGACGUGAGGACGUGAGGAUCUGUCACUGACCUUGCGAUGGCUGGCUUACCCUUGAGCAGUGGUGGGUGAAGGAGAUCGAGGGGAAUGAGGCAACCACGACAUCAGGGAACAGGUGUGUGAGGGGACAGGGAUGAGGUAGGAUGAGAUGAGACGCUUCGAUGCCUCUACUGUCCUUCCCUACACACACACACACACACACACACAUAUCUGUACGUGACAUUCCUGUUAGUUUAUUUCUUUGGUGGUUUUUCUUCUGUUUUAAUAUUUUUUCUAUUGUUUAUUUAUGUUUUGUCCCUUGUUUCUUUGUUCGAUGGUAAUUUAGUUAUUUAUUCUUUUGUAGAACGUCAGUAAAACAUAAAGGAAAAUCUGCCCUCCGUCCUGUAAUAUUUGGGAAAAUGUUAGGCUUUGUAGGAUAUCUCGUCUUACCUCUCGCGCUCCCUCCUUCCAAGGCAUUGAAAAAGUGCGGGAAAUUUGAAGGUUUAUAAAUGCACUGGUGUGUGUAUGUGUGUGUGAGUGUUAUUGCUAGUUCUCUCUCUCUCUCUCUCUCUCUGUCAGUAGUUGCACAGGUCUUCAAAGGUAUUUUUACGGUUUUAGUGACAGAUUAACAACAUUUCUACAUUAAUAACAGGAGAAACACCAUUGAAAACCCUGAUAAUCAUCUUUAUAGCUUUGAAAAACAGUCGUGAGGAGAGAGAGAGAGAGAGAGAGAGAGAGAGAGAGAAAGAGAGAGUAGGAGCAUUUCAGUUGAGCCUAUUCUGCCCUGGUUCGUGUUUGCUGCGGUGACACGGUGCCGCACUGAGUGAAGAUUGCGUUCAUAAUCACUUAUCGGGGGUGGAGUGGGGAAAGGAGAGUCAAGAAGUGAGGAUAUUUAUAUUAUUUGACAUAUUAUUUGAUAGCAUAUCAACUUUUGUGUGUGUGUGUGUGUGUGUGUGUGUGUGUGUGGGUGGGUGUUGGAUCAGUGACAGGUGGCGCUGGGGAGUUACCACGGCGAGCGGCUGGCGGCUGGCUGCAGUGUUUUGGUCAGCACUGGUCAAUCUUGCCCUACACGCUCUAUUAACCAGUGUUUCCGUCUUCCCGACACCUUCUUCCUGCACCAAGCACCGUCAAGCAUCACCAGAGAGGCACGAGUACGUAAGCUAUCCAACAUCAGAACAGUAUAUGAAUAUGGCAAAUGCUGUUUUGACAUCAUUUCCUGCCAUCCUGAGAAACAGUGAUCUCGAGGAGCAUGAAUUGCAGCUGCAAUGGAAAUUGCGCAUCCAGCGCAAGUUUCAGAAUUCAAGAAAAAGGCAGGAUUCCUCAGUGACUGAGGUGACGUCAAGGAAAAAGAAGAUCCCUUGCAUAGCGCCAAAAGAGACUACGUGUCCACUGAUGUAUGGAGUAAAGGCUUACCUUCCACCAAGGCCCCAUUCAGAAGAUGAUGAGUCAUUAGAGAGACAGACAGUGGCUUGCUCUACAUUGGAUGAAGAAAGAUCCUGAGUUAGAUAAGAUAAUCAAGGAGUUCCUGAGAUUAGAACCACAAGCGGAUGAACCAGACCCAAGAGUAGCAGUUUUGAAAGGGCUGGAGAAAUAUAGGCUCCCAAUAAUUGCCAUUCUCAAAAAAAGAAAAGCAGUUCCUCUGUAUAUGGAAACCUUACUUGAACUCUAUGACCACGAUGAAAGUCAAUGCGAGUAAUGUCUAGUUCAAUUUGUUCAUUUCAGUAGCUGGUAGCAAUUUAAUAUAUGUAUCUUUUCAUCAUUAGCAAUGCAUCUUUCACUUUUAUAAGCCUAGUAUUCAUGAAACUAUGCUGCAUGCAAAAACCAAACAUUGUAUUAAGCAUGACCUAUCUAACUGUAAUGCUUGCACCAAUUUCUAUAAAGGUACUAAUUUAAUUGUUAAAUUCCUGCUCUUCUAUCAAAUUUUUGGCUGAGUGCUAUUGCUAAAUAAUUGUUUGCAGCAUAAGUGAUGUUAAAGAUUUUAAUAGGUGUAAAGCAUCUCUCUCUCUCUCUCUCUCUCUCUCUCUCUCUCUCUCUCUCUCUCUCUCUCUCUCUCUCUCUCUCUCUCUCUCUCUCUCUCUCUCUCUCUCUCUCUCUCUCUCUCUCUCUCUCUCUCGUAAGGAAAGACAUUAUUUCUAGUGUAAAUAAACCCAAUAGGCUGUCCAAUUUGAAAUUUAAAAUGUAAAUAUUAUCAAUCUUUUUAGAAAUGUUAGCUGCAUCCUCUUCCCUUGCAGUCCAAUAAGACAGGUCACUAAUUCGUGUGGAGAUAGAAUUCUUGGAGUCACCUUUGCCGGCACUAGCGCAAGUGCAAACAGUCUGAUAAAGGUUUCUUCCAUGGUUGUGAUGAAGUUCAGGACUUCUCACACUGUUUUGGUGGAUAUGAUGAGAAGAAUCGGGAGUUCGGAACAUCAGUGCGUUAUGUCGGGGCAUGUAGGUUCGGCUGGGGUUUUCUUUCUUUCUAUCUUUUUUUUUUUUUUUCGAUCAGUACUCAUCAUAUUCUUACGAGGACUUGCUAGACAAAGCAUUAUUGCAUUAUGAUAUUACCCAAAUAGUGUCUCAAGUAAAAAACAUAACCGCAUACUCGUACAAGAGAUUUGCUGCUGUGACACAAAGGACAAAAAUCAUUAGUAUACUGGUCGUUCUGAGCAUUCAAUCAAAAUGCUUGUCAUUCAUAUAAUUAGUAGAACCAUCAAGGAGCUUUAUUUUUGUUAAUUCUUAUGUGAUAAAGCAAUAAUUACAGGAGACUUAAAAGAUUGGUACUCAAAUUAGUGGACUGUCCUAUUGGAUGUGACCAUAUCUUCACUUUUUCCUUACACAGUUAAUUUUCUUUUGUUUAUUUGAUUUACUUAUUAUCAUAUUUAUUUAUAUAUUUAUUUAUUUGCACCAGAUGCUUGCUUAGUUAUAUUGGGGUUACUUCACCUGCUUGGAGAAAGGAAAGACUCCAUUUUUACUAAGGUACCAGAAGAAGAACUAAGAACAGGGCAGUCUAGUGUGUAUUUGAUGGUGAACCUGUAGCUGAACCAACAUGUAUUUCUAUGGCUGUAGUCUCAUUGGUAGCAGGGCUUUGUGUUUAAUAUUGAACACCCAAAAAAUUGUUAACAUUUCCUCCGUUUCACAACAUCCCAUCUCUUAGGUAUCAAGUAUGACAAAGGUAACACUUCAAAAACAAGAUCUCUACUUGUAAAACUCAAUGAAGUAAAGACAGAAUUGAGCUACAAAAAUGCAUAAAUCUGCUUCCAAAUAUAUUCAACUCCACACAUAAUGCCUCUCUCUCUCUCUCUCUCUCUCUCUCUCUCUCUCUCUCUCUCUCUCUCUCUCUCUCUCUCUCUCUCUCUCUCUCUCUCUCUCUCUCUCUCUCUCUCUCUCUCUCUCUCUCUCUCUCUCUCUCUCUCUCUCUCUCUCUCUCUCUCUCUCUCUCUCUCUCUCUCUCUCUCUCUCUCUCUCUCUCUCUCUCUCUCUCUCUCUCUCUCUCUCUCCAAAUUGGGAAGUAUUCUUCAUGUACCAUAUGAUGCAUAUAUUUUUAUUUAUUUAUUUUUUUUUAUGCAUUUUUUACCUUUUUUUUUUUUUAUUUCUCUAUGUUAUUGCAAGUGAUACGUGAAGCUUCUUUAUUACUGUUCUGAGCAUUUCUGUAGAUUUGUUUAGUUAGUAUAUCCCAUAGAAAUACUCAUUUUCUUUUUUUGUGUGGCUUUAAAGGAUUAAUGGUGACAUAUGGAUAUGAUCUGGGUUAAAAGCUUGUACAAAUAAGGUUAAAUGUCUAUUUUUGCACUGGUUGUUUCCCUAAGUUUCUUAAAAGUACUGUGAUAUAAUGAUUAGCAGUGGACUAAUUAAUUAUUCUUUACAGGGUCUGUAACUCCUUACAUUUAAUUUAUGUUAACUUUACUUACAUAUUUUUUCCUUUAGUUUAUGAAUGGGAGGAAGGUUUAAUAUUCAUAUCUUAAGAGAUGCUUACUUUCUUUUCCACAUUGCAAGUUUUAGUGAUUAAUACUCACAAAUGUGUAUUAUUUACUUAAUGGCUUGUCAAAACAGGUUGUUUUUGUGUUGCUUUUUUUUUUCUCAUGCUAGGAUGAAGUGUUACUAAUGGAGUUUAUUUUUUACAUCUGUUUUAUAUAUCAUUACAGUUUUGAGGGGAGCUUUCUGUUAAAUGUUCAAGUGAAAAGCAUAUUAUACUAUAGAUGAUAAAAAAUUAUAGU